rnacentral:lncRNA from 1 species
ACCUGAAGGCAAACAAGCUCUUGUGAACGCAACGCUGGAGGCACAAGGAGCUCAAAGAUUUAUUCACUAAACUGGAGAAGGAUGGAGAUGGAAGAGUGAGCUUUGGGGUUGCAGUUUGGCUUGUUCAGCCACAUGACCACCUUUUUCCAGGUGUCAGAGGAGCGUGCACAGGGAAGCAGUUGAUCCUUCUGCCUGAACUGUGUGGGCCCACAUCUCUUCUCCAGCAUUGAAUGGCACUAGAUUUGCCAAACUUGUCAUUGCCGUAUGAGCCCUGGGAGAACUUUGAGUAGAUCCUCA